rnacentral:ncRNA from 1 species
ACAGAGGUGCGGAGCGCAUCAGUAGCCUGUUCUGCAAGCCCUGCCAGGGGCAUAGGAUAGGCAAAAGGGCGUUUCGCCGAAGGCGGUAUGCGGCACAUACCGACCUGGGUCCGCGGUCGAACAGACGCGGGACUGUCACGCCCAAAAGGCGUGUUGCGCUGUGUGG